rnacentral:rRNA from 1 species
AUGGAGGGGGAUUUGAUCCAUAUCAAAAUGCAUCAUGGGGGUACAUUUUCAAUGGAAGGACCACUUACUUAUGAUGGUGGCGAAGUGUCUAUUAUUCGAGACUGUGACAGUGAGCGUACAUCGUAUUUUCGUCUAGUUCGCAUGGCUAAAGACGUAGGUUUCAAGGAUGGUGAUGAGUUAUAUUAUACAGUCCUUGGCUGUAGUCUUGACGAAGGAAUUGAUUUAAUUCAUGAUGAAAAUUCUGUCAUUAAGAUGUUGAACUUUGCAAAGAAACACAACUUUGCAGACAUCUAUCUUAAACAUAAAGACCAUGAAAAUAUGUCUGCUGAUCCAAGAUCUGGUCUGCGCACUAAUGAGAAACUUCCAGCUGAGACAUGGCACGUCCACCAACAAACCGGGAAAACAUAA